CAGCCGCCACGGUAAUACGUAGGGGGCGAGCGUUGUCCGGAAUUAUUGGGCGUAAAGCGCGCGCAGGCGGUCCCUUAAGUCUGAUGUGAAAGCCCACGGCUCAACCGUGGAGGGUCAUUGGAAACUGGGGGACUUGAGUGCAGAAGAGGAGAGCGGAAUUCCACGUGUAGCGGUGAAAUGCGUAGAGAUGUGGAGGAACACCAGUGGCGAAGGCGGCUCUCUGGUCUGUAACUGACGCUGAGGCGCGAAAGCGUGGGGAGCAAACAGGAUUAGAUACCCUGGUAGUCCACGCCGUAAACGAUGAGUGCUAAGUGUUAGAGGGGUUAAACCCUUUAGUGCUGUAGCUAACGCGUUAAGCACUCCGCCUGGGGAGUACGGCCGCAAGGCUGAAACUUAAAGGAAUUGGCGGG
rnacentral:rRNA from 1 species